rnacentral:lncRNA from 1 species
UCUAAACUGUUAUGUCAAGCUGGAAAUACCUGGAAUUCAUUUUUUCCCCACUUACAGAUAUACCCAACCAAACAUUCAGUGGAAAAAAAGAAUGUGAAGGACAACUCUCAUUCAGCUGUCAAUCAUAUCACUGUAUAAACCAGGUUGGAAUUAAACCACUUCAUUUUCCAGUCACCACUGCUUCAGAGAGAAGAAAUAUAGAAAUGGAAAAAUUCCUGUGA